AAAUUGAAGAGUUUGAUCAUGGCUCAGAUUGAACGCUGGCGGCAGGCCUAACACAUGCAAGUCGAGCGGUAGCACAGAGAGCUUGCUCUCGGGUGACGAGCGGCGGACGGGUGAGUAAUGUCUGGGAAACUGCCUGAUGGAGGGGGAUAACUACUGGAAACGGUAGCUAAUACCGCAUAACGUCGCAAGACCAAAGUGGGGGACCUUCGGGCCUCAUGCCAUCAGAUGUGCCCAGAUGGGAUUAGCUAGUAGGUGGGGUAACGGCUCACCUAGGCGACGAUCCCUAGCUGGUCUGAGAGGAUGACCAGCCACACUGGAACUGAGACACGGUCCAGACUCCUACGGGAGGCAGCAGUGGGGAAUAUUGCACAAUGGGCGCAAGCCUGAUGCAGCCAUGCCGCG
rnacentral:rRNA from 1 species